AAUGUCUUAAUAAAAUAAUGAGUAAACUUCAAAUAUCAUUUAUGUGGCUUCACACUUUCUCACUUUAGUAUUAUAUGGUUUAAAGUGUAUCAAGUUAGUUUUCUAUAAUUUCAUUUUUAUCUUUUCGUCAGCUUGUCCGUUAAUAUUUCAUUAAAUUAUAUGCAAAAAACUUCAGAUACCCUACAUAGGUUUAUCGAAUAUUCACUUUAGUACCCUUUAGUUUUAACUUUGUCACUAAUUUAACGAAAAAAAUUAGUGGAAUUGAUAAUAAAAAGAUAAAAAUGAAACCACAUGCCAUUAAAUUGAUGAUACACUUUAAACUAUAGUGUACUAAAGUGAGAAAGUGUGAAACCACAGGAGUGGUAUUUGAAAGUUUUCCUAAAAUAAUCAAUGAAACUUACUUGAUGAGAAAUUAUUUUUCUAUGU
rnacentral:lncRNA from 1 species